UACGUAGGGUGCAAGCGUUGUCCGGAAUUAUUGGGCGUAAAGAGCUCGUAGGCGGUUUGUCGCGUCUGCUGUGAAAACCCGAGGCUCAACCUCGGGCCUGCAGUGGGUACGGGCAGACUAGAGUGCGGUAGGGGAGAUUGGAAUUCCUGGUGUAGCGGUGAAAUGCGCAGAUAUCAGGAGGAACACCGGUGGCGAAGGCGGGUCUCUGGGCAGUUACUGACGCUGAGGAGCGAAAGCCUGGGGAGCGAACAGG
rnacentral:rRNA from 1 species